rnacentral:misc_RNA from 1 species
GAAAUGCGAUAAGUAAUGUGAAUUGCAGAAUUCAGUGAAUCAUCGAAUCUUUGAACGCACAUUGCGCCCGCCAGCACUCUGGCGGGCAUGCCUGUUCGAGCGUCAUUUCAACCCUCAGAAUCCCUUGCGGGAUCUGGCGUUGGGGAUUGGCAUCCAGCCAGCCCCGAAAUCUAGUGGCGGUCCCUCCGCGACCUCCCCUGUGCAGUAGCGAUACCUCGCAGCGGGACAGCGGUCUGACCACGCCGUAAAACCCCCAACUUCUCAAGGUUGACCUCGAAUCAGGUAGGAAUAUCCGCAGAACUUAGGC